CACCUGACUCCAUUCCGAACUCAGAAGUGAAACGAAAUAGCGCCGAUGGUAGUGUGGGGUUUCCCCAUGUGAGAGUAGGACAUCGCCAGGU
rnacentral:rRNA from 2 species